AAAAACGAUGACAAAAUCAUUCGCAGUAUACUGGUACAUUAUUUCUUUCCAUGAGCAUCUCAUGUCUGUGCCAAGCUGGAGUGAAAUCCUUCAAAAAUAUCACCUGUUUUAGAAUUGAAGAAAAAUGAAGAGAAGGUUGAAAUUGCAAGCAUAUUUCAAAUGAAGACUCGGACGACUACCAGUGCAGGUCAUUGAGGGGCGCAGACCGUCUGCCGGCCGGCCAAGUCCCUCGACCAGCUCGGCCAAAUACCAGUGCAGCCUG